UACGAAGGGGGGCUAGCGUUGUCCGGAAUUAUUGGGCGUAAAGGGCUCGUAGGCGGUGUGUCACGUCGGCCGUGAAAACCUGCAGCUUAACUGUGGGCGUGCGGUCGAUACGGGCAUCACUGGAGUUCGGCAGGGGAGACUGGAAUUCCUGGUGUAGCGGUGAAAUGCGCAGAUAUCAGGAGGAACACCGGUGGCGAAGGCGGGUCUCUGGGCCGAUACUGACGCUGAGGUGCGAAAGCGUGGGGAGCAAACAGG
rnacentral:rRNA from 1 species